rnacentral:rRNA from 1 species
AGUGAACGCUGGCGGUAGGCCUAACACAUGCAAGUCGAACGGCAGCACAGUAAGAGCUUGCUCUUACAGGUGGCGAGUGGCGGACGGGUGAGGAAUACAUCGGAAUCUACUUUUUCGUGGGGGAUAACGUAGGGAAACUUACGCUAAUACCGCAUACGACCUACGGGUGAAAGCAGGGGAUCUUCGGACCUUGCGCGAUUGAAUGAGCCGAUGUCGGAUUAGAUAGUUGGCGGGGUAAAGGCCCACCAAGGCGACGAUCCGUAGCUGGUCUGAGAGGAUGAUCAGCCACACUGGAACUGAGACACGGUCCAGACUCCUACGGGAGGCAGCAGUGGGGAAUAUUGGACAAUGGGCGCAAGCCUGAUCCAGCCAUACCGCGUGGGUGAAGAAGGCCUUCGGGUUGUAAAGCCCUUUUGUUGGGAAAGAAAAGCAGCAGGUUAAUACCCCGCUGUUCUGACGGUACCCAAAGAAUAAGCACCGGCUAACUUCGUG